CAAUAGCGUAUAUUUAAGUUGCUGCAGUUAAAAAGCUCGUAGUUGGAUUUCGGGUGGGAAUGGCCGGUCCGCCGUUUCGGUGUGCACUUGCUACGCCGACCUUGCUGCCGGGGACGUGCUCUUGAGUUCACGCUCGGGACACGGAGUCGGCGAGGUUACUUUGAGUAAAUUAGAGUGUUCAAAGCAGGCCUACGCUCUGAAUACAUUAGCAUGGAAUAACACGAUAGGACUCUGGCCUAUCUUGUUGGUCUGUAGGACCGGAGUAAUGAUUAAGAGGGACAGUCGGGGGCAUUCGUAUUUCAUUGUCAGAGGUGAAAUUCUUGGAUUUAUGAAAGACGAACUACUGCGAAAGCAUUUGCCAAGGAUGUUUUCAUUAA
rnacentral:rRNA from 1 species